GAAAUAUGUUGGUCAAGAGGAAGCUGCUAACUUUUCUCUUUAGUGGUUAAAUUCCAUUAAUAUUUCU
rnacentral:tRNA from 1 species